rnacentral:rRNA from 1 species
UAGGGAAUCUUCCGCAAUGGGCGAAAGCCUGACCGAGCAACGCCGCGUGAGUGAAGAAGGUUUUCGGAUCGUAAAGCUCUGUUGUAAGAGAAGAACGAGUGUGAGAGUGGAAAGUUCACACUGUGACGGUAACUUACCAGAAAGGGACGGCUAACUACGUGCCAGCAGCCGCGGUAAUACGUAGGUCCCGAGCGUUAUCCGGAUUUAUUGGGCGUAAAGCGAGCGCAGGCGGUUAGAUAAGUCUGAAGUUAAAGGCUGUGGCUUAACCAUAGUACGCUUUGGAAACUGUUUAACUUGAGUGCAGAAGGGGAGAGUGGAAUUCCAUGUGUAGCGGUGAAAUGCGUAGAUAUAUGGAGGAACACCGGUGGCGAAAGCGGCUCUCUGGUCUGUAACUGACGCUGAGGCUCGAAAGCGUGGGGAGCAAACAGGAUUAGAUACCCUGGUAGUCCACGCCGUAAACGAUGAGUGCUAGGUGUUGGGUCCUUUCCGGGACUCAGUGCCGCAGCUAACGCAUUAAGCACUCCGCCUGGGGAGUACGACCGCAAGGUU